rnacentral:rRNA from 1 species
CCUACGGGGGGCAGCAGUAGGGAAUCUUCCACAAUGGGCGAAAGCCUGAUGGAGCAACGCCGCGUGGGUGAAGAAGGUCUUCGGAUCGUAAAACCCUGUUGUUAGAGAAGAAAGUGCGUGAGAGUAACUGUUCACGUUUCGACGGUAUCUAACCAGAAAGCCACGGCUAACUACGUGCCAGCAGCCGCGGGAAUACGUAGGUGGCAAGCGUUAUCCGGAUUUAUUGGGCGUAAAGGGAACGCAGGCGGUCUUUUAAGUCUGAUGUGAAAGCCUUCGGCUUAACCGGAGUAGUGCAUUGGAAACGGGGAGACGUGAGGGCAGAAGAGGAGAGUGGAACUCCAUGUGUAGCGGUGAAAUGCGUAGAUAUAUGGAAGAACACCAGUGGCGAAAGCGGCUCUCUGGUCUGUAACUGACGCUGAGGUUCGAAAGCGUGGGUAGCAAACAGGAUUAGAUACCCCAGUAGUC